GUAGUCAUUUGAUUGGCUAAUCCAAAAGGUCACCCUGACGUGACCCCUUAUGGGAUGUUGUUAGAUGUUCAGGCAACGUAGUGAGAAUGACCAUCUAGAUUUUUAUUAGAUUGUGAUUUUGUACAACUUUACCUCAUCUUCAUGUACAGGUUUUACCAGUCGGUCAAGGAUGUCUAGUCAAUGUUAUAGAUCAUUAUAGGAGAUACACACCUGUACAUCAGGUGGUUAUAAAGUCAUUAUAGGAGAUACACACCUGUACAUCAGGUGGUUAUAAAGGCAUUAUAGGAGAUACACACCUGUACAUCAGGUGGUUAUAAAGGCAUUAUAGGAGAUACACACCUGUACAUCAGGUGGUUACUGAAUACAUUAAUACUGUAAUUGGGUACCACCUUAAACUGUUCACACAAAGAUUUGUUAUAAUAUUUACUUCUUACCUGUUAUAUGUUGGCUAGGUUUCCAUGUUGGGUGUAUAACACAUGUACACCAAGAAACAAACAUCUCCUACAAUGUCAUUAUUAUAAUUUUACAAGUCGUACCACUCCUAAUACUGAAACAUCAGCUAGAUGUUAAAACAUGGUAAGACAAGAAAUACAGUAGUGAUAACAAACAAUGAAAUAAAACUAUUGUUUUAUAAGUAAUGAUGAAAGCUUUAAGUUGCAUUAAGAGUACCUUUUUCCUUGGGAAUAUCCCAAGUAGGCUUCAGUUUGUAGCUUAACAUAUGUACAUAUAUCUUUUUCUUCUAAGAAUGUUUAAAAAAAACAUUUACUGGAAAUAUUCUGUUGAGGCAUUUCUAUCCAUAUUAAAUGAAGAACAUGAAAUAAACUAUUUAUUUUCCAUC